rnacentral:rRNA from 1 species
GUUGAACGCUGGCGGCAGGCUUAACACAUGCAAGUCGAGCGGAGAUGAGGUGCUUGCACCUUAUCUUAGCGGCGGGCGGGUGAGUAAUGCUUAGGAAUCUGCCUAUUAGUGGGGGACAACAUUCCGAAAGGAAUGCUAAUACCGCAUACGUCCUACGGGAGAAAGCAGGGGAUCUUCGGACCUGGCGCUAAUAGAUGAGCCUAAGUCGGAUUAGCUAGUUGGUGGGGUAAAGGCCUACCAAGGCGACGAUCUGUAGCGGGUCUGAGAGGAUGAUCCGCCACACUGGGACUGAGACACGGCCCAGACUCCUACGGGAGGCAGCAGUGGGGAAUAUUGGACAAUGGGGGGAACCCUGAUCCAGCCAUGCCGCGUGUGUGAAGAAGGCCUUAUGGUUGUAAAGCACUUUAAGCGAGGAGGAGGCUACUGAGACUAAUACUCUUGGAUAGUGGACGUUACUCGCAGAAUAAGCACCGGCUAACUCUGUGCCAGCCGCCGCAGUAAAAC